CGCCAUUACGGGGUCUCUGCCCAGGUUACAGGUUCAUGUACCUGUAUCUUUUCUAACCCACUCGGCUCGACACCGUUUCUCUCUCCCUAGUCCAUCCUCCGAUUGCGGCGGCGGCGGCGACGGCGACUGUGCCGGUGGGACAACCCGGAAGCGAGGGCUAGUCUCCACCCUGGCGCGUGGUGUACUCCCCCAUUCCCUCUCUCAUGCUUGCAGGAGGCGAAGUGGACAGUGCAAAGAUCCGACGCGAGGUCGGGCGGCGACAACUGCCUUCUCCUGCGUCCAUCCGCACCUUCGUCGGUCUUCUCGCCGGGUUCUUGAUUGUUUAGGAGCGGGGCAAAGAAAGAGGACGAAGGCCAAGAAAGGAUCCCGGGUUGCCCAAGAAGCUGCUCCUCAGGUUUUGAUCUCAAGGGCAAAAUUUGGGGUUCGGCCCUAACAAGAGCCCUCAUUCUGUCCGACAAAAAGAAGCCCUUAUUCUGUACGCAGUUCAUCCUCACUUUUCUGCUAGAUUUCACCGUCACAUCAGCAAACCUAUGGACUAAAAGAAAUCAUGCAACAAAAGAAAAAAAAUACAUUCCCUUCCCCUAAUAGUUCAACACUUCUUCAGACUUUAUGCAAAUAUUGUGAGUAUUGUUUCUAUCCUCUGAAGGUGUUAAGACUUAUAUCCCGAAUGCCAGUGCAGUAAUUAAUUAGAUUCUCGGAGUUGAAAGCAUCCAGUCAUGCUUAUUUUAAAUCUUUUCUCAUUGUAGUUCAUAUACCUGUCCGUGGAUCACUCAGGUGUCAUUUUUUUAAUAACUCAACUUUAGUUUGCAGUAACUAGUUUCAAAAUGUUUUGAAAAUGCUACUUGCAUUCAGGAAGAGAAAAUAGUAUACUGAGAAGUACCUACCAUGCCCCUAGCCCCCUACUAUGAUUUCAGCAUAGUUUAUGGUAUACUAACAAGUACCUACGAUACGAUGCCUCUGUAUUUUUUUUACUUGGGCCCUUAUUUUAAUCUCAGCUGUAGUUAAUGGUAACAAGCACCUACGACGCCCCUAUUUUAUUUACCUGGGCCACUAAUAUAAUUUCAGCUCUAUUUGGUCUUUGGAAAUGGUAUAUCUGGAAAUAAAGCACUAUGCGUGUAAUUCUAUCAUUCUGCAAAUUAGUCAAUUUUGUAGUUUCUUUCUUUUCCUUAGUGAUAUGCCAAUAUGUUUCAGCUCAGCGCAUGGAGUAAUUUAAUGGUCCUUCUCCUGUGAUUUACUAGAUUGUCAGCAAUGAUUCAAAAUGUCAGUUCCUUUAGACAUAGAUGUGGAAUAAAGCAUCAACCUAUUUAAUAAUGUAUCCAUCCAUCUAGCAACAGGUAGCGUAACAAGCAUAAGUAGAUAGUGACCCAGACAAAGAAACCCACUAAAGAGAUUGCAGGAGUAUUGGUGAGCGCUCUGAAUCUACAAAUUCCUUGAUCCAUUUUUACAUUAUGCAAGCAUAACAGAAGAGAUAAAAUGUAGACACUUUUAGGCACAUACCCCAAAUAUGCCUGGCGUUAGAUCCAGAUCAGUAAAUUAACAGUAUGCCAACUACACAUAGCAAUUCAGAUGAAAAAGAUGUAGACAUAAAAUGGGAGCACAGUAGCCAGACACUUUGAACUUCAAAUAUCAUAAACUCCUAUAUGAAAAGGUAAAUUCUGACUGAUGCUUGUGCAAUUUCUGUUACCAUCUAGUUUAAUUCUCUGUAUGUAUAUGCUAUGUAUAAGUAAAAAUAUGCAUGUGUCUGUUUUCCUCAGGGAAGAGCAUUCCUCUAUUUAUUUUAUCAUCUAAUUUAAUUCUCUUUAUGUAUACAUGUUAUAAGAAAAAAUCUGCAUGCGUGCUUUUCUCUAGCAAAGAGCAUUGCUCUAUUUAUCUCGGACCAUCAUGUCUCAUUCACUGGGUUGUUGGUAAGAAUAUAUCCAUGUUUUAAUGUUUUUCCGACUACAGUUUAUAGUUGUAAAAUCUGUCAUUAAGCUUCAGCAGUUCAAUCUUGCAAGCUUCUUUGAAGUGCGGUCUGCCUGAGAUUAACCCAUUGGCUUUGACUAAGAGUUCCAAUUAAUUGUUAGGUUGCUUAUCCUAAAGUUCAUGAUCCUGCAUGCGAGCAAAGGAUGAGAUAAGCGCAGUUUUGUCUCUGUAGUUUUCUAGACUUUAUUCAUCAUGACGAUUUUAUGGAGUCUGAACAAUGUGUAGCUGCAAGGGAGGUUCCAGGAAGACUUCAAGAUGCUAGGCAUCAUCCAUUUUGAGGUCGUUUUAGCAAGACCUGAUGUUUCAGUGCAUACAGCACAAUGUAACAUAUCAAGUCAGUUUGUUUCUGUAAUUAUACGGCCUUGUCCAUAUGUUUUACCCCAACCAUCAGUAUUUUGCAUGAUGCCCUAGGUAAUUUGUGUUCAGAAAUUGACAUUGUGUAUCUGCAUACUUGGCGGGCAAUAUCAUUACCUGACAGCCUCCGGACACAUUCCUAUAGAAUCUUAAUUCUCAAAAAAGAAACCCUAUAACCUUAGGAAUUAUUUCAUUCCUCAAAAGUAUACUUUUGUUGCAGGGGUAGUAUAUUGGAAAUCAGGGGCGGAGCUCAGCCACCAGCUCCAUCUACUCGCACGAACAACAAUUUUUGUACACAUGUGCACAACUGUAUUUGCUUUCGUACCAAUAACUGGAAAGAUAAUAUUAAUCUCCUUGAUUUCACCGACAAUUGCAGCAUAUGACGCCGAUAUAAGUUGUCCUGCCAGUUCUUUAACAGAAUUAGGAGUCAGGUUCCCAAACAAUUAUCUGAAACUUACCUUCUUUGACCAUCCUCACCUUAACUUUACAUCGCACCCGCCUUGCGAGAAGGACAGGUUACUCGGCUCCGUGUCGUAAUUUUGCCUCACAAGCGUUUUGUUUCUAUGGUGGAUGUGGCACCCACUCGAAUAUAAUUUUACCUCAGACAACUUUUGUUUCUUACGGUGGUUGUGGGGUGGUGUAAUUUUACCUCAGACAGCUUUUGUCUCUUAUGAUGGUUGUGGCGUGGUGUGUGUAGCUUAUUCCUCACCCAGGGUGACGAAUAGCGCGACCCUAUAUAUAUAUAUGUAUAUAUAUAUAUAUAUAUAUAAAUUCUUUUAAUAACGCAGGGUGAAGAAUAAGUAAUUCUUCACCCUGGUUGGUCGAUCGAGCUGGAUAGCCGAUUCCUUCGUCGCACCGUGGGGUGGUGUAAUUUUACUUUUUCUUUAUGACGGUUCCUCCUUUUGCUUUUUUUUGCUUGGUCGUGCGGUUUGGAUCAUGCCCACUACCAGCCGAAUCAACAAAAAAAAAGAUCCCAGGGACGAACAGCGGCGGCGAGCGGUCUGGGGCUAGGCGAGCGGCGGCCGUCGUCCGGCAGCGAUACGAGUGGGCCCGGCGGGAGCUCGGACUCCAGCGCCAUUCUCUCAAGCCCGGUGUGGUGGGACGACGCCUCGCCAGCAACGAGCACCUGACCACAGUCGGGCGCAGUCUGCGACUCAGGGGUUGGAGGCGUCCUCGUCUAGCCGACGAGCUGGUUAUGGUCGGGCGGGCAGCGCGUCGUGGCUGCUGCGUGAAGAGGUACUUCGUCGCUUUUUGGUAGAUGCCCCCAUAUGAUUUUGCUUCAGGAUCCAGCCCUUUCAAUUUGAUUCUAUUUUACGGGAGCUAUGAUUGAUUCUCACUACAACUUCACCAUCGAUUGCUUUAUUAUGCUUGACUACCUGUGUAGAUCAAGAUCCCACAGGCUGGCAUCCAUGGCUGGAUAUGCUUCGGUAGCCUCACUUUAUUGCCUCGAUGUUGCCGGCCGAUGGCCGUAGCCUUAUAAGUGUUGCCUCAGAUCUUGGACUAUCUCUUCAGGAGCAAACACAUAUAACAAUAAAUCAGACGCAUGCAGGCAACACUUCAUUGCACACGAUAUACUUGAUCCGACAGCUAGUUUAUCCGUAUCGCUGCUUGAUGCGGAACAAACAUACUACUGGUCAAUUUCGCAAUUCAGUUGUUGUUCUGGCCCACUAAUAAUCAAAAAAAGUGACGAAAUCCUUAUCCUUCACUUGCUGGUAGUAAUUCCCAAAAGAAACCAAGCAAAGGAUUGGGAGUAAAAACUAAUUCCUUGCCCAAUACACUACUGAUUCCCUCCUCUAAAGUCAUAUCCCUCUUCCCAUUAUUGCCAAAUAGGCUAUAGAUGAGUUGCUCGGGUGGCCUGAGGCAAAACAAGAACCAUUUGUACUCCAAUUGGUUAGGAGCGUGGUUUUAUUGUUCUUCAGUUUAUUAGUGCGAAGUUGGUUGCAUCAUCCGCUUCAGGAGAUAGUCAUGUGCACCACGAAACUAGCUUCACUUGAAGAUAGUAUGAGCAGGCAUACCUCCUAGUCUAGCUAGCUGGGCUAUGCAGCUAUCUGAUUGUAAUUCGGAACUAAUGUCUUUCGUAGUUCCAACAAAUCAGGGAUUUAGUACGAAGCUAAUUUGGAGCCAGGCAAGUCGGGAUUCACAUCCCUUUUCGGAGAUGGCUAACCAACAAAGGCAGGAGAUUCCAGCGACAGAUUUGAGGUCGGCGCCUCACGAAGGCAUGCUCCUUGCCGGGAGAGGCAGGGGCAUCCUUUCUUGGUCUGCAGCUUUCACCUCUGUUGCUUCAGAUAGCGGCACAAGUGGAGCAGGAGGCUGCAAUGGAUUUUAUACUAUGCUGAUUCGUCGCUUGUCAGCCUGUCAUGGAUAAUCGGUGCAUGGUAGGAAGUACAAUGGCAAAACGAGGACGGAUUGAAGGCAGCGGAUUCCGUGUUGGUCGGAG